CGUCCGGCUCCGAGGGCGGCAUGAACGGCGCCGGCGUCUUCCUGGGCCCCUGCGAAGGUGCCCUCUGCGGCGUCCCCGGCCAGAAACGCCGCCGYGUGUCGGCCGCGGAGCCCGUCCGCACUCCCAGCCCCGGCGCCCAGGCCCCCUGGGAGGAGGAGGAGGAAGAGGAGGAAGAUGAGGACGAAGAUCGCUUCCGAGGGGUGCCGCUCCGGCGGACCUGCGCGCUCCGGACCUCCAUGCGCUCCCGGGAUGCUUUCCGCCGGCACAGCUGGGAGCCGGGCAAGGAGCUGCGCGGGGACCCCGGCUACGAGCAGCUCAGCGCCUGCCUCAAAGGGCUGAGUCCCGACAACUUCGACGCCGGCGCGGAGGGGCUGGCGCGGCCCCGGCGGGACCCCCGGCGCCUGCCCCUGCUCCACAGCCACGAYGACCUGGAGUCGCUGCUCUCGCAGGAUGAGGAGGACGAGGAUGACGGGAAGCCGGAGCAGGAGGGUGCGAAGCGGCUGCAGGCGUUUCGGGCCGGGCAGAGCCCUGGUGGCUGCGGCCUCUCCAAAUCCGUGUCGCUGAGCGGCAUCGACAGCUUCCCGGAUGCGGAYGAAAUUUCCCUCUUCGCCUCCCAGCUGAGCCUGGCCAACGGCUUCAGYGCCGGGAGCUGCGGGCAGCUGGCGGCCACGGGCGAGCCGGGGAGCCUGCACCGGGAAGAGACCCGCCUGGGCCGGACCCUCAGCUUCAUCAGGAGGAUGACGGGGAAGUCCAAGUGGGGAUCUCCUCCAGCUCCGGAGGGAACCCGAACCUCCCGCAGUGGCUAUGACUCCCGAGGCAUUUGCAGGGAAAGUGGCUCCUUUCCCCCCCCCCUUCGGAAAUCCAUUGGGGCCAGGAUGACUUGGAAGUGAUGCAUUUUGCGUCUAAACAGUGACUGUUCUCAAGAAGUCGCUGAGCUUGCUUCAAGGCUGCGCUCGCCGGCCGUGACUCAACGGCUCAUUCCCGUUACAAGCGAACGUCGGAUCCCCCCCCGGCCCCCAGAUCGCCGCGACCUCUUUGCAAAAGCUAAAUCAGGGAGCUCGGCCCCUGGCCGGAUCCGCUGGCUCCGCACGGGAGGGGUGUUUCUAAGGGCGGUGUGUUUGCGCGGUUAAAUAAACAUGCAGGGGAAAAAAAAAAGUCGCCCA
rnacentral:lncRNA from 1 species